GAAUGAAGAAAGCAUGGUAAUGUGCACAAAAAUUAAUUUGGGUCUCUAGGCAUGUCCUCUCUGAUGCCUACCUGCUUUGAUUUGGGGGCAUGGUUCCACAGCAAAACG